GACGAACGCUGGCGGCGUGCUUAACACAUGCAAGUCGAACGGAAAGGCCCUGCUUUUGUGGGGUGCUCGAGUGGCGAACGGGUGAGUAACACGUGAGUAACCUGCCCUUGACUUUGGGAUAACUUCAGGAAACUGGGGCUACUACCGGAUAGGAGCUCCUGUUGCAUGGUGGGGGUUGGAAAGUUUCGGCGGUUGGGGAUGGACUCGCGGCUUAUCAGCUUGUUGGUGGGGUAGUGGCUUACCCAGGCUUUGACGGGUAGCCCGCCUGUGAGGGUGGCCGGGCACAUUGGGACUAAGAUACGGCGCAGACUCCUACGGGAGGCAGCAGUGGGGAAUAUUGCACAAUGGGAGGAAGCCUGAUGCAGCAACGCCGCGUGCGGGAUGACGGCCUUCGGGUUGUAAACCGCUUUCGCCUGUGACGAAGCGUGAGUGACGGUAAUGGGUAAAGAAGCACCGGCUAACUACGUG
rnacentral:rRNA from 1 species